UCUUAUAAGGGUGCUUUCUUUUUCUCCCUCUGUGUCUCUCUUUUCCUCAUCUGUGAAGCACAUGGGUCCCCUGUGACAAAUUGGAGAUUAAUGCAAAUGAAAAAAAUAUAUAUGGAAGUGUGGGGGGAGGUGUUGUCACUUCCAAAAGUGCCCAGAUCCGGCACUUAGCUCUCUGUGCUCAGACCUAGUUGACAGAAAUGUGGCCAUCGGUAAAUAUGGUACAUGCUGAAAGAAAGAAAGAAAGA